CCCGACCUCUCUCAUUCUCUCUUCCCUCUGCAACCACCAGGAAAUGCCAUUCCCCGCCGCCACUGUUCCUCCUUCCCUUUCGAAUUCCGGCUGCCAUCUCACUACACCGGCAACAUCUCUACACCGGCCAUAUCCGAGCUGCACGAACACCAUAGAUGGAAUCUGUGUUUUGGAGGACUGGAAUCUGCAGGUUUGAAAUGUGGAGAAGACGGAGAUUGCUGGGUCGAUUUCUAUUAGAAUCAAAUUGGGUAAGGGUUGUGGCAAAUUCUGUUUUUUCGUGGUGUUGAAUUUUGUUGGUUUCAGGAGUGUGGAGCUGGAAUCGGGUACGGGUAAUCGGGUUGGACCAGGCUGCUGAGUGGGAAUGAGAGGCUGCCUGGUGCUGUUGUGCCUGCUAGGGAGAGGCUACUUGAGAGGUUGAGAGGAAUGUCUCAUUCGGAAACCAGUUAUAUGAAUAUGAACCAAGUAAGAUGAGUGGAUUUGCUGGAUAUCUGCGGCAACUGUCCUGCAGUACAGCCUUCUUUGGUAUUUCUUUUUCCUGACUUAUUGACCUCCAAAUGACCUGAAUUUUUGAUAUGUUUUACUUCUGUUAGUUAGUAAAGGAUCUGAAAAGUUUCAUCGCAUUUCGACAUAAAGUGAACGUUCUGUGAAUUUUCCAAGUUUGGUCUGUAAUUGAGAAAGUUUCAGAAUUUAUAAAAGUUCUCUGAUUUUCUGUUGA